rnacentral:rRNA from 1 species
GCGUGAGUGAUGAAGGCCUUAGGGUUGUAAAGCUCUUUCGGCGGGGACGAUGAUGACGGUACCCGCAGAAGAAGCCCCGGCUAACUUCGUGCCAGCAGCCGCGGUAAUACGAAGGGGGCGAGCGUUGUUCGGAAUUACUGGGCGUAAAGGGCGCGCAGGCGGCUCGACAAGUCAGAUGUGAAAGCCCCGGGCUCAACCUGGGAAUUGCAUUUGGGACUGUCGGGCUAGAGUUCGGGAGAGGUGGGUGGAAUUCCCAGUGUAGAGGUGAAAUUCGU